rnacentral:rRNA from 1 species
CCUANGGGGGGCAGCAGUCGAGAGGCUUCGGCAAUGGGGGAAACCCUGACCGAGCGACGCCGCGUGGGCGAUGAAGGCCGUUAGGUUGUAAAGCCCUGUCGAGCGGAAAAAACGUAGAUGGGUGAACAAUUCAUCUACUUGAUGGUACCGUUAAAGGAAGCUCCGGCCAACUCCGUGCCAGCAGCCGCGGUAAUACGGGGGGAGCGAACGUUGUUCGGAAUUACUGGGCGUAAAGGGCGUGCAGGCGGUCCGGUAAGAGAGUUGUGAAAUGCCCUGGCUCAACCAGGGAAAUGCACCUCUGACUGCCGGACUUGAGUAUGGGAGAGGAUGGGGGAAUUCCCGGUGUAGCGGUGAAAUGCAUUGAUAUCGGGAGGAACACCAGUGGCGAAGGCGCCCAUCUGGCCUAAUACUGACGCUCAGGCGCGAAAGCUAGGGGAGCAAACAGGAUUAGAUACCCCANUANUC